rnacentral:rRNA from 1 species
GAUGAACGCUGGCGGUAUGCCUAACACAUGCAAGUCGUACGAGGGUUUUUAACUCUAGUGGCGGACGGGUGAGUAACACGUGAGAAUUUGCCUUUAGGAGGGGGAUAACAAUCGGAAACGAAUGCUAAUACCCCAUAUGCUUUUGAGUGAAACGGAUUUAUCCGCCUAAAGAGAAGCUCGCGGCUGAUUAGCUUGUUGGUAAGGUAAGAGCUUACCAAGGCGACGAUCAGUAUCUGGUUUGAGAGGACGAUCAGACACACUGGAACUGAGACACGGUCCAGACUCCUACGGGAGGCAGCAGUGGGGAAUUUUCCGCAAUGGGCGAAAGCCUGACGGAGCAAUACCGCGUGAGGGAAGACUGCCUAUGGGUUGUAAACCUCUUUUUUCAGGGAGGAAUAAAAUGACGUGUACCUGAAGAAUAAGCAUCGGCUAACUCCGUGCC